GACGAACGCUGGCGGCGUGCUUAACACAUGCAAGUCGAACGGAAAGGCCUCUUUCGGGGGGUACUCGAGUGGCGAACGGGUGAGUAACACGUGAGUAACCUGCCCUUGACUUUGGGAUAACUUCAGGAAACUGGGGCUAAUACCGGAUAGGAGCUCCUGCUGCAUGGUGGGGGUUGGAAAGUUUCGGCGGUUGGGGAUGGACUCGCGGCUUAUCAGCUUGUUGGUGGGGUAGUGGCUUACCAAGGCUUUGACGGGUAGCCGGCCUGAGAGGGUGACCGGCCACAUUGGGACUGAGAUACAGCCCAGACUCCUACGGGAGGCAGCAGGGGGGAAUAUUGCACAAUGGGUGGAAGCCGGAUGCAGCAACGCCGUGGGCGGGAGGACGGCCUUCGGGUUGGAAACCGCUUUCGCUCAUGACGAAGCUUUGUGUGACGGUAGUGGGUAAAGAAGCACCGGCUAACUACGUG
rnacentral:rRNA from 1 species